rnacentral:tRNA from 1 species
GCCCCGGUAGCUCAAUGGCAGAGCACCCGCCUUGUAAGCGGAAGGUUGCGAGUUCGAUUCUCGCCCGGGGCU